AUUGAACGCUGGCGGCAGGCCUAACACAUGCAAGUCGAGCGAGCGGCGGACGGGUGCGUAAUGUCUGGGAAACUGCCUGAUGGAGGGGGAUAACUAAUGGAAACGGUAGCUAAUACCGCAUACCAUCAGAUGUGGCCAGAUGGGAGUAGCUAGUAGGUGGGGUAACGGCGCACACAGGCGACGAGCCCUAGCUGGUCUGAGAGGAUGACCAGCCACUCUGUAACUGAGACACGGUCCAGACGCCUACGGGAGGCAGCAGUGGGGAAUAUUGCACAAUGGGCGCAAGCCUGAUGCAGCCAGGCCGCGUGUGUGAAGAAGUCCUUCGGGUUGUAAAGCACUUUCAGCGGGGAGGCGUUACCCGCAGAAGAAGCACCGGCUAACUCCGUGCCAGCAGCCGCGGUAAUAC
rnacentral:rRNA from 1 species